UACGUAGGGUGCAAGCGUUAAUCGGAAUUACUGGGCGUAAAGCGCACGUAGGCGGCUUUUUAAGUCAGGGGUGAAAUCCCGGGGCUCAACCCCGGAACUGCCCUUGAAACUGGAGAGCUAGAAUCUUGGAGAGGCGAGUGGAAUUCCGAGUGUAGAGGUGAAAUUCGUAGAUAUUCGGAAGAACACCAGUGGCGAAGGCGACUCGCUGGACAAGUAUUGACGCUGAGGUGCGAAAGCGUGGGGAGCAAACAGG
rnacentral:rRNA from 1 species